rnacentral:rRNA from 1 species
AGAUACCCUGGUAGUCCACGCUGUAAACGAUGUCGAUUUGGAGGUUGUGCCCUUGAGGCGUGGCUUCCGGAGCUAACGCGUUAAAUCGACCGCCUGGGGAGUACGGCCGCAAGGUUAAAACUCAAAUGAAUUGACGGGGGCCCGCACAAGCGGUGGAGCAUGUGGUUUAAUUCGAUGCAACGCGAAGAACCUUACCUACUCUUGACAUCCAGAGAACUUAGCAGAGAUGCUUUGGUGCCUUCGGGAACUCUGAGACAGGUGCUGCAUGGCUGUCGUCAGCUCGUGUUGUGAAAUGUUGGGUUAAGUCCCGCAACGAGCGCAACCCUUAUCCUUUGUUGCCAGCAGUUCGGCCGGGAACUCAAAGGAGACUGCCAGUGAUAAACUGGAGGAAGGUGGGGAUGACGUCAAGUCAUCAUGGCCCUUACGAGUAGGGCUACACACGUGCUACAAUGGCAUAUACAAAGAGAAGCGACCUCGCGAGAGCAAGCGGACCUCAUAAAGUAUGUCGUAGUCCGGAUUGGAGUCUGCAACUCGACUCCAUGAAGUCGGAAUCGCUAGUAAUCGUAGAUCAGAAUGCUACGGUGAAUACGUUCCCGGGCCUUGUACACACCGCCCGUCACACCAUGGGAGUGGGUUGCAAAAGAAGUAGGUAGCUUAACCUUCGGGAGGGCGCUUACCACUUUGUGAUUCAU